rnacentral:lncRNA from 1 species
GGGUUUUGAAAUAAGCGCUGUGAGAAAAGACAGAAAUGACCAUGAUGCAUCUUCCUCACUAUGAGAAAAAAGACGGAGUCUAAAACCUAUCACCCAGGUUGGAAUGCAGUGGCACCAUCUUGGCUCACUGCAAGUUCUACCUCCUGAGUUCACGCCAUUCUCCUGCCUUAGCCUCCUGAGUAGCUGGGACUACAGGCGCCCAUCACCACUCCUGGCUCAUUUUUUGUAUAUUCAGAAGAGACGGGAUUUCACUGUAUUAGCCAGGAUGGUGUCGAUCUCCUGACCUCGUGAUCCACCUGCCUCAGCCUCCCAAAGUGCUGGGAUUACAGACGUGAGCCACCGCAUCCAGCCAACCCACAGGUUCUCAAUGCCUGCUGAAAUUGCUACACACUUUCUGUGGGUCUGCUUUGGUUACUAGUGACAAUGUCCACCACAAAAAGAACUUGAAAAACAUUUAUAUGUGGCUUUAUAUUACCUCUCUUUUUCAUUUUGGAUAAUUCAUAUUUCCUGUUUUAAGAUUGCAGUGGAAUACAUGUUUUCUAUUUUCUUUAUCUUUUUUUGGUUUGUUUCUUUCUUGAUUUGUUUCUAUUUUUUUCUGUCUAUUUUCACAUAGGCAUCUAAUGUUUUUGGCUCACACUAAAGUAUUUUAAAUCCAUUUCUCCAUUAUCAUUUCUGCCAUAACAGUUGGAAAAAACUUAAGUUCUUAUGUCCCCAGCCUCUUUUGCAGUGAGAGCAGCCAUAUGCUUUAGUUCUGGAAACUAAGACACAGCCUGAACUUGCUAAGAGCUCUAGGAAGGAUUUUGCUUUUCCUCAUGUCAGGGCAUGUUAUAAGGUAUUACCUGAUAUAAUCCCUGGCAUGGCUCCUCCUUCCUUCUUUCUUGAAGGCAAAUUGGAAUGCUGAAAGCUACUGCAGUCAUCUUGCAACCAGGAAGCAAACAUGAGAAAUCCCAAGAUAAUUUCAGAAAUUAUCAGACCAGUGAACCAAUGCUAGCUGCUUCCCUCAAGACGACUUGUUAAGCCAGAAAAAGUAUCCAAUAUUUAUUAAGCCACCCACUCUAUAUAGUGCUUCCUGUUAUUUUCAGUUGGAAGCAUUCCUAAUGGAUGAUGCCACACACAUAACAUGCAUAAACAAUUGUUAGUAAUUAUUGAAAGUUGAGCAUUAGACUGUACAUUAAAACACAACAAUGAAGGCAAAAUGCAAUUCUCAUCUUGAAGAAGUUUAUGGUGAACAUUUUAUAAGUUAAGCCAAUAAGAAUCAAAAGCCCUUCGGAUAUUAGUUGCAGGUCUGCAACUAAUCUGGACUGCUAUGUUUCUUACUGAUUCUUGGCGUUUGUUUUCUCAUAUAUAAAACAAGGGAUUGCAUUAUUUCCCGGGUCUAUUGCAGGUAUACAUUUCCAAGUUUGUUUGAAUAAAAUGUAUUUUAAAUCCAUGGAUUUGUAACACUUCCUGUCAAAUGGUAUUUUAACAUUUGUAUUCCAUGGAUACUUUGGAUGCAAAAGAAGCCUUUGCACAUUCACUGUUCAUGCUUAGGAUUCUGUGCAUACUACAUUGAAAAAGCUAGGCUAUGAGUUUGAGCAUUUUGAUAUGCCAUCCUAAAAUUUAAUUUACUUAGCAUUCCAGAAGUGGAGUUUAUUUAUUUACCUAUGGAACAGCAUAAAUAGAAUACUGGGAAAUAUCUUUCAGGAAGAAUUUUCCCCAAGAAAAUCCUACACAACUUCAGUAAUUUUCUUCCCUUUUAUGAGCACAAAAUUCAGACAAAAAUAUUUCCAUUAAUACGGAGGUAUGGCUGAUGCACUAGGCUUUCCAGCUUUUUUUGUGAUAUGACUGAACAAGUGUAUGAAAUUGCCAGAAAGUAUUUUCAUUGCUAGCAGGAAACGUAUUUUAAAAUUGUGCUCAGGAGGCAUAAAGGACAACAAAUAAAGUGUUGCUAUACUGUUUAAAA